rnacentral:rRNA from 1 species
CUGGAAAUUCCACUACCCUCUCUAGAAUUCUAGCAAAUCAGUAUCAAACGCAAUUCCAGGGUUAAGCCCUGGGCUUUCACGCCUGACUGGAUUCGCCGCCUACGCGCGCUUUACGCCCAGUAAUUCCGAGCAACGCUAGCCCCCUCCGUAUUACCGCGGCUGCUGGCACGGAGUUAGCCGGAGCUUCUUCUCCCGCUACAGUCAUCAUCUUCACGGGUGAAAGAGUUUUACAACCCUAAGGCCUUCUUCACUCACGCGGCAUCGCUGGAUCAGGGUUUCCCCCAUUGUCCAAUAUUCCCCACUGCUGCCUCCCGUAGGAGUCUGGACCGUGUCUCAGUUCCAGUGUGGCUGAUCAUCCUCUCAGACCAGCUAUCGAUCGUUGCCUUGGUAGGCCAUUACCCUACCAACUAGCUAAUCGAACGCGGGAUCCUCUAACGACGGCCUAAGCCUUUCCCCCGAAGGGCGUAUGCGGUAUUAGCAGUCGUUUCCAACUGUUAUUCCCCAUCGUAAGGUAGAUUCCCACGCGUUACUCACCCGUCCGCCACUAAGGUAACCGGAGCAAGCUCCGGGCCUUCGUUCGACUUGCAUGUGUUAAGCGUGCCGCCAGCGUUCGCUCUGAGCCAGGAUCAAACUCU